CACCGACAUGGAGAAGAUCUACUUGACUGUUUCCCUCCUGGUUUUUGCCUUUGUGCACUUUGGCCCAGUUUCUGCUCUUUCAGGUCUCAAUCCAGGAGGUUGUCCUCGUGAGGAGCAUGGACGUGUCGGCAUUUGUGCCUUAAUUCCCAGAAAGUCUUGCUUGACGGACGAUGACUGUUCUCGUGGACUCAAGUGCUGCAGUUCCGGAUGUGGAAGAAAAUGUGUGGCAGUGGCGCCAAUCCUGGAGGUAAAACCGGGAGUGUGUCCCAGGCCCAGUGGUUUUAGUACCUGUAUUCAAGCGUGCAAUCAUGACUAUGACUGUGAAACAAACCAGAAGUGCUGCAGCAAUGGAUGUGGAAAAGUAUGCAUGGGACCCUUGAGAG